GACGAACCGUGCAAACGUUGUUCGGAAUCACUGGGCUUAAAGGGCGCGUAGGCGGGCGGCCAAGUCCGGGGUGAAAUCUUUCGGCUCAACCGGAAAAUUGCCUUGGAUACUGGCUGUCUCGAGGGAGGUAGGGGCAUGUGGAACUUCCGGUGGAGCGGUGAAAUGCGUUGAUAUCGGAAGGAACGCCGGUGGCGAAAGCGACGUGCUGGACCUCUUCUGACGCUGAGGCGCGAAAGCUAGGGGAGCGAACGGG
rnacentral:rRNA from 1 species